AUCUUUGCGCUUGGGGCAAUGACGCAGCUAGUGAGGUGCAAACCGAGAGGCGCGUCUAUUGCUGGUUGAAAACUAUGUCCAAACCCACUCUUGGGUCUGGGUUAAGCCUUGGCCCUCGAGAAUUUCUGUAAAUUACCUCAAAGUCGAUAUUUUUAGGGCAUUGAUAGUGA